CCAACCAGCUCAAAUACUUUUUAAUACAUUGAAAAUGUAAAAUAAAGCAUAUACGAAGUACAUACAGUAUAUAUAUAUACACAUAUUUCAAAUACUUAAAAUUCUUAUGUAAAAUAUGAUUUUUUUUCUAUAUUAUUUGUGUAAAAAUACAUUUUCAAAUGGUGUCACCUCGAUUUUGCUGUACAGACCCUCAAGCCCAAUCGAAGUCCCUUUUAAAAAGGCAAAAGACAAAGGUUUAGGAUUUUUGGAACUGUGUUUACAGGCCUGUUGUCCACACAGGAAAAGCCUCUGGGAAACAGUAUUGGAUUGCUUCUUUAUGAGAAUUCCCAUUUUUAUUGCAUUAAUGGCAGGAAACCUUUUCAGUUGUGCUGCAGUAAUCCCGCUGGCCUGGCCGAGGAACUGUCCCCGGUACCCUGUCACCAAGCUGGGAACCCCUCCUCUGUCCCCUCUUCUCAGCUACUAAAAUAUAUAUUACUGUAAAUAUAUUACUGUAAAUAUAUUACUGGGAAUAUAUUACUGGGAAUAUAUUACUGGGAAUAUAUUCCACUCGCUCGGCACCAACAGCAAACGGAAGCAUUAAAAACAGCCCAGGGCCGAGAGCCCGCGGGGACACUCCUGCUCCUGGCCUGGGGACACACGGGGGACACAUGGGGGACACACGGGUGACACAUGGGUGACACAUGGGUGACACAUGAGUGGCACACAGGUAACACACAGGUGACACACGGGUGACACACAGGUGACACUCAGGUGACACACAGGUGACACACAGGUGACACACAGGUGACACACAGGUGACACCAGGUGUGCUCAUCACAGGGACCCUCCCACAUUCCCGCUGUGGGAACCCCGGCACCGGAACCAUCGGACGGAGCCCCCUGGACGAGAGAAGCCCCAAAGCCGCUCUGAUCCACCCUCCUGCCCCGGGUGCUCUCUGCUGCCUCCCCCCCAGGAUCCCCCAAGGAUCCCCCCAGGAUCCCCCCGAGGAUCCCCCCGAGGAUCCCCCUGAGGAUCCCCCCAGGAUCCCCCCGAGGAUCCCCCCCAUAAGGACCUGACCAGGAACUGCUGCUCCAGCAGCUGUUUUGUGCAACCAGAAAAAAAAAAAAAAUCCAACUCCCCAAACCAGUGCAACUGCUUGGAACCUCCUCUUUCCUGUAAAUUCCAGGAGGGAAAGCAAAAUUCCACACCAAAUUCCUUCCCUUGCUGCCCACCUGGCUCAAAUCCUGCGCCUCCCGAGCCACAGCCUGUCCGUGGGGUUUGGGGCUGGGAAGUGAAUUCCAGUUCUGUGUCCUGGAAAGGGAAACUGAAGCCUCCUCCUCCUCCUCCCUCCCCGGGCUCCUUUCCCUGCCACAAACACUCCGACACCAGGCUUUGGAAAUCCUGCAUUUCUGAUGCCGCCGUUCCCUGCAGCGCUGUUCAAUUCAUUCCUGGGGGAGCGAAGUCUAAUGGAUCACGACAUCCCCUCCCCGUGGAUCCCGUCUGGGGGUGGAUUCACUGGCUGUGGGAAGGAGCCUCAGCCGUGGCACGGGCUGAUCCCACCCCCAGAACUCCACAGGAUUCCCCCUCCCAAAACCAUCAUCCCACACCCAGCUGCAGCCAAACUUCCAGGGCUUUAUCCCUGCUCCAGGGAGUGCUUGCAGGGAUUGUCACACCGAGCCCGUUAUCCUGAACGAUUUCCUCACGCUCAGAGAUGCUCCCCCAGGCUGCACCUCAGAGCACGCUAAGAACUGAUUUCCUUAAAAAGAAACGGAAAGAGAAGUAGCCCAAGCCAAGUGUUGAUCCAUGAAAUGGAACUAAGGCACUGACAGGUGUAAAAUCCCGAGCCAGCAGCACAAUCCCACCCGGGGCCGCUCCGUGUCCAGGGUCCCCGGCUGUGCCAGCCCCUCCUGGGCCACACGGAGCCGUGGGAUGGCUCCAGAACAGCAAACCCAGGCCGUGCUCCGCAGGAACAGCCGGCAAAUCCCACAGGAGGAACCGGCUGCGGCCACAGGCGGCCGGUGACGCUUUGGGAAGGGCCAGGGAGCUCUGCAAGAGCAUUUCCAGCAGCAGCUGCAGCAGCCGAACCCUCCGAGUGCUCAGGGUCACAGCUCCCUCCUCAUCCUCUGCUUCCCCCUCUCCAGCAGCCUGGAAAAACACCCUGAGAGGAGCCCAGGAGAGACAGAACUGUCCAAGGGUGCAGUGAAAGCUCUGGCUCCUCUCAAGCCUCCAUCUGUGCUGUGUAACCAGCACCGAGCUGCCCUCGGCCUCUCCCGGGCUGUCCCAGCCAGGAAUGGAAGUUCUGCCAGGACUGUGGGAAGGAAUUUCCCUCCUGUCAAGGUGAGGCCUGAGGGAGAAAGGGACAGAUCCUGCUCUCAGCUCCAAACCAGCCCGCACUGCCUCCCCAGCUUUACAAAAAUACAGGAUCUCCUCUUCCUGAACAAGAGGGAAUGGCAGGAACAGGCACAGCCCGGGGGUUCUUGGGCUACCACCACCACCAGUACGGGUGUGAGACGCUCGUAGGGACAAUUUUGUGCAACUUCUUACAUUUAAAAAAUGGAGUGAAUUUCUAAUCCCUAAAUCCUCCUCACCACGGGAUGCUGGAGCAGCGAUGUGGAAUCUCGGCAGUGGGGGUCACUGCUCUGCAGCAGAUUUGAGAUGACACAACCCAGAUGCUGCAGCUCCUGCUGCUCCCUGGGCAGGGAAGGAAACGCUCCCUGCUACCACGGGAUCAAGUCUGCAACUCCCUUUUCCUUGUCAUCACCAACUAAACCACACGGUCAUGGAAUAUCCUGUGCUGGAAAGGAUCCACAGGGAUCAUCCAGUCCAAUUCCUGACCCUGCACAGAAACCCCAACAAUCCCACCCUGUGCCUGAGAGCACUGUCCAAAGGCUCCUGGAGCUCUGGCAGCCUCGGGCACCGCUUGUUCCUUGGAAAAGCUCCCAGGGAAUUAUUUCUGCUCCUCACCACCAGUGCCGGGCUCCCGGGGAGAAGGGGAGGGGAGCAGUAGUACAAAGGAGAGGGGAAGGGAAGGCUGAGGACCCCGUGCACCACUCAGCUCUGGGAAUAUUGCUUCAGCUUAAAAAGGCCUUUGGAUUAAAAGUGAAUUCAGUGCUUUUCCAUCAAAAAACAUACAUAGCUCUGUUCCCUGACCAGGAUGCAGCAAGGCCCCCGCCCGCCCCAGGAGGGGAACAGCCCUCGAGUGACUCUGCUCCAUCAGCCCAGGAACACGGGGCCACUGUGCUUUGAUUUCCUGCAGCCCAAGGGAAGGAAUCCAGGAACUGUCAGGGAACACAGGUGCCACCAGCUGUCCCCAGCCAGCUCUGAGGGGCUGUCCCAGCACCCCUCCCUCAGCUGGGCCCAAGCUGAGCUGAGCUCAGCCCAAUUUGGUACUUCAAACACAAAGAGCCACCCAGCAAGGCCCAGGCAGACACUCAUUUGCCUUUCCCUACACCCAGGAAAUAUAAAAUCUUGGAUAGAAAGUGGAGAUGUCCGACCAUGGGGGCGUUUGGAUGAGCACAAAACGCUUCCCAGAGCUUGGCAGGACUUGGGGUGACGCUCUGUGCCCUUCACCUGUCCCCGUGUGCCAAGAGCAGCCGGCUCUGGGCCGUGGGAUGGCAGCUCCCAGCUCCUGGGGAUGGCCAGGAGAGCAGAUCCCUGCGGAGCUGUGUGACCCUGAUCCCGCUGGCACUGCCAUGGUCAGCACAGCUCCUCGCAGUUCCACGGCCGGACACCUCCCCCGGCUCCGGGAGAGGGGGAUCUGCAGGGCUGGAACACCGGCCCGUAUUGCACAGCCCUGGAGCCUCCUGGAACGGGCAGCUCACCGGGAAAGGCAAGGGAGCAUCGCCAGAGCCUCCCAGUUCCCAGGGAUCUGAACUGGGAGCAGCCGAGGGAGGAGCUCAGGGCUCCUGGCUCGGUGCUCCAUCACCACACAUGGCUGGACUCGGAUUAUCCCAUUCCCUCUGCCAGGAGAACGGGCUAUGGGCUGGAUCCCCCCGGCACAGCAGAGCUCAGCAAACGUGCUCAGAGCAGGCUGGGGUUACUGGAACUGCAGUACAAGUCAAACACUAUCUCCUAAAAGACUGAAAAAAUAUCUUUAAACAAAAUAAUGUGGCAUAUUUACAUAAUUCCUUAAGUGCAAACUCUUGUCACAAUUCACGUAGUCGAGCGCGAUUUCGACUCCCUGUACAAGAAGGUGCUCUUUCGUUAAUGAAAGAAGGACUCUAACUCUGUAUUCCUGAUUCAGUAACGUGUCU